ACCCACCAUCGCUCACCUGCCCUUUUCUUUGGCUGACGCUCUUUCGCGCCCCGGUUCUUACCGCGGGGGCAUUCGCUUGAGAGGAUGGCAGGUUCCGUGACGUCACGGCACCCCAGCCAAUGGCCGCAGAGGGAUGCUGUGAGCAACCUGGAGACGCUGGGCAGCCUCUGAUGGGUUAAGGGGCUCGUCUGAAUGACCUCAACGACCCCCUUCCCCCAAUUAUGACAAGGCUGCGCCUGAAUACAGCCUUCUUCUGCCAGGCUUCCCCUCCUAGAUGGAGAAAGAGUCAGGAGAACUGCAGGAAACUGGAGCAAGAAGUGAAGAGAAAGGACCAGGGGAAACAUAAUAGCAAUCUUCCAAUGUUUGAGGGGCUGCCACAGAGAGGAGGAGGUCAAUCUGUUUUCCAAAGCACCCGAAGGCCAGACAAGGAACAAUGGAUGGAAAAUGAACAAGGAGAGAUUAAACCUGGAAAUAAGGGGAAAUUUUCUGACAGUGAGAACCGUCAACCAAUGGAACAGAAAUUGCCUUCAGAAGUUGUGGGAGCUUCAUCACUGGAAGCUUUCAAGAAGAGACUGGACCGCCAUUUGUCAGAAAUGGUCGAGGGUCUCCUCCUUGGGGGGGGGGGGGGGGUUGGACUAGAUGCUGCCUUCCAACGAGUGGUGGGUUCCUCCUGGUUCGCACCAGUUCUAUAGAACUGGUAAUAAAACGGGCGGGAUGCUCCGCCCACUGACCCUGAUGUCAUCAGAACACAGAAGAGCGCGCGUGCGAGCAGCCUCGUUGCGAACCGGUAGUAAAGAGGACUGCAAAAACCUUGGCCAGAGAGCUCCUGCUGGGCUGCUAGAGAGCAAAGGCAGAAUUCCGUGCUUAUGAGAACACGCUUAGAGAGCAAUCCCCAAGACUUGGAUACAAAGAAGGAUUUCUGCUGAUCAUUUAUGUUUUGCCAAGAAACAGUGAGUGCUGUGCAGAUAAAAAGAAGGAAAGGAAUGGCCAGCCCUUUCGUUGGGAAGAAUUGCACAGUUGUCUCAAGCAACAGAUGCUGGGAAACGACUCCAAAGCCUCUGAGCUAGCUGUCUUUCUUCAAAUGCACUGGGGAAAGCUGUUCCUAUUGUCAAAGAAAGAGAUUCAACAGCAAAUCCAGUUGCCUUUUGCCACAAAACACGAAGCCUCAUUUUGUAUUUCACCUCAAAAAAACAAAAUGUCUUCUGAUCUUUGAAGAGAAAAAUCAAAGGGAGAUUGUAAAAAAAAAAUAAUGUCAAAUAGUCAGAAAGAAACAUCAGCCUCUCUGGAGGCAACAAUGAGCAAUCUGGAAGGCAGUUUGGAUGUGAACCAUAGCCAAACCAGAACCCAUUCUGAAGAGGAAUGGCUAAGACUGAAAGAGAAUUCUGAUGACCAGUGGGGAUCAGUCUGCCUCUCUCUCUUGGCUGGAGGGCAUCCAGAGGUUUCAACCCCUCUGUUCCAUUAAUGAUAAUCAGCAUGCCAAAAGCAUCGGGCUACAUUAUGUUCCACUUCAGUUUCUGCCAGUGAUGCAGCAGGAAGUCAAACCCUGGUACAGAGGUCCUCAAACUUGGUAGCUUUAAGACUUGUGGACUUCAACUCCCAGAAUUCUCCAGCCAGCAUAGCUGAAGUCCACAAGUCUUAAAGCUGCCAAGUUUGAGGACCCCUGGUUUAGAAGGUCCAUGGCUCUGUAUGGAAUGGGUAGUGGAGACUUUUGUUGAUAUCAUAGUUGCCAAAUGGAUACCAUUUGAAACUGUUCCAGUCCAUAUCCACAUCUCACAUGGGCUCAAGAACCAGAGAUUUUGAGCAAUUUUUGAUGUUUUUUUAAAUCUGGGGACAGUGACUAAUUAUCCCCAUUGUUGUAGUUUUUCAGAGCAUGUGCAGAAUUCCCUCUUCCCCAUCUCCCCUGCCCCUCUCCCCCACACACACAUCCAUGGCUCUGAAAGAAACUAUACCGAGUGGAGAUUUUGUCUUCUAACAAAUGCACCUCAGCCUCUCUCUCAGAAAUUCACUCUGCUGGAAUUAAAUUUCAAAUUACAAGAACUAAUUAAUCAAGAGGCCGUUUUAUUUUUAUUUUUCAUUAAGGGUGAAAUAUUGAGGUCUUCUAAAAGAGUCCAACAUAUCCUUUCCUUGAUUAAAAAUGUUAGCCUCUACCUCCCAGGCUAGAAAUUUCAAAGCAGCUGCUAAUUUGGCCUCCUAAGGGAAACUUGGCAAGAAUUGCUGGUCUGGAAUUUUUAUUAGGGAGGUUUAAUUAUUAUGUGCUUUUUUUCCCUCUCCCACCCUUUGGAUGAGAAAUAUUGCCAAGCCCCAACUGUGACACUGAAUGGCCUCAUAAAUUCACAGUGAAAUGUACAGCUUCGGACUCUGGAGAUGGCUGAACUACGUAGUUGAACUGCUACAUCAACAGGUCAGCUCCAGUAAAGAGGACUCUUCCUUCCACCAGGAGUGUGCUUGGGGUUCCCCACAUAAUUUGGUGUUUAGCCUAGGCUUCACAUUUCUUACACAGUGACUCUAAAGCAAAACUCCAGUCAGCUGCGAGGUGAAAUCAAAAGGACAGAUGAGAGUCCAGCCUGAAAAACAGCACUUUGAAGCAGCCAAAUGGUUCAAACAUUGACCACUGUUUCCCUCUCUCUAAAUAAGGAAAUACAGCUUCAUUAGUUUCUGGCAGAAAUCAAGAGUGCAGCUAAAGAUUGUUCCACAAGGCUAGAAUGUUAAACUCCAAGCCAGUAGCUGGCAUUUUGACGUUUUGUUGCUGAACUGCAAUUCCCAGCCCUAUUCUCACACGGGGGCCCUGGUGGUGCAGUAUUGCAGACAGAAUGCAGUAUUGCAGAUAAACUCUGCCCACAGCUUGGAGUUCAAUCCUGAUGGGGCUCAAAGUUGAGUCGGCCUUCCAUCCUUCCAAGGUCCAUAAAAUGUAAGCAACAGAUUGUUGCUUACAUUGUAAACUGCUCAGAGAGUUCUAUAAAGAGCUAUGGGGCGGUAUAUAAGCUUAAAUGCUAAUGUUAUUGUAAGGACCCGCCCCAGCUGUCCCCUCAGGAAAGCAUGACUCCUGAAACAGUUAGUUAUGAAAAGGAACUUUUACUGAGAGAAAGUGAUUGCAGAGAAUUCAGGCGGAAUCUGAAGUUCCCACUCAAAGCGUUAACCUAUUGUUCCCCAUUCAAACCCCACCCCUCUUCACCAGUCCACCGGCAGCCAAUACAGUUCCACAUAGGUGUUUUGAGAACUCCGAGACGUUAGCUUGAUAGAAAUUCAUCUGCAGGGCGCAGGCUGGAACCAGCUGGGAGGAAGCCCAUCUGUCUUCAAGAUAGCCCCUCUCCCUAAAUCCCACGCAGUUACAGCAAAAGUUACAGCAUGUAGAGAAUGCAGCCCAAUAACCUCCGCCUCCCCACAUCAGAAUGGCAGUGUCCCAGCAGAGGACCUGACAUGCUUCCCCCCCUUAAAAGAAGGAUGGCUUAUACCUAUAACACAUAACAUAAUAAAUAGGAAAGAAAAAGAAAAUAUUUAGUUUCAUUUAGGUUUGUCAGGGUAUUAGUUGUGAAACUGUUUGACUAAUUUAGGGGCUCUAACAUGGUGGUGGUUAACCAAUUCAUUUUGGGCAGAGGAAAAUCUUUCCAUGCCAUCAGGUAUUUGAGGGUCCCUUGAUGUUUACGGGAGUCCAAAAUUUCCUUAACUUCAAAAUGUUCAUCUCUUUCUAUCAUGAAGGGUUGAGGAACAGGCAGAGGAGCUGGCCUCAGGGGAAAAGACACCUCAGGUUUCAAUAGACUACAGUGAAAAACAGGUUGGACCUUAAGGAGGGACUUGGGUAGGUCUAACGCUACUGCAACAGGGUAAAUAAUGCGUUUAAUCAGGAAAGGUCCAACAAACCUGGGUCCUAACUUCUUAGAAGGUUGCAAUGACUGUAAGUAUUGUGUGGAAAGAUAUACUCAUACCCCCAUAUUAAUCUUCUUUGACUCAAUUCUUUUAUUGUCCAGUUGACAUUUAUAGGCCUCUUGAGCUUCAGUGAGUGCUUUAUGUAUAACCGGCCAGGUAUUCUACAGCUGGCCAAUCCAGUAUUUCAGUAAGGGGAUUACUGGGUCCUUGGUGGGUAACUUGGGCAUAGGCUUGAAAUCUUGACCCGAUGCAACUCAAAAAGGGGUGAAAGCAGUACUGCUACGUACAGAAUUGCUGUAAGUCAUUUCUGCAAACGGUAAAAGGUCCGUCCAGUUGUCUUGUUGAUAGUUUAUGAAACAUCUAAGGUACUGUUCCAGAACUGAGUUCACUUGUUCACACCCUCCAUUUGUUUGCGAAUGAUGACUAGAACUAAAUCCCUGGUCAGUAGCCAAUAGGUCCAAAAAGGCCCUCUAGAAUCCCACUAUCAGAUAUGAUGUGCUGGGGUGCUUCAUGUAGCCGAUAGAUGUGAUUUAAAACAGCUUAGCAAGUCCCCAUGCCGUGGGUGUUUAUUGGCAAGGGACAAAGUUCACUUGUUUUGAAAAAGAUCUGUCACCACCCAGAUUAUGAUAUUCCCCGCGCUUUCAGGGAUUUCUACAAUAAAGUCCAUAGAGAUCCUCUCCAGGGUGCUGACAGCUCGGCUACAAUCUGAAGUAGCCCCGGUGUUCUCCCCUGUCUCCAUUUAGCAGAUGCACAAAGGGCAAUAUAGCUUUCAAUGUCUUUUUGAAGGGAGGGCCAUCAGAAUUGCCGUUUUAUUAAAUGCAAUGUCUUUACGAA